rnacentral:rRNA from 1 species
CAGUCGCCGCGGUAAAACGUAGGGUGCAAGCGUUAAUCGGAAUUACUGGGCGUAAAGCGUGCGCAGGCGGUUAUAUAAGACAGAUGUGAAAUCCCCGGGCUCAACCUGGGAACUGCAUUUGUGACUGUAUAGCUAGAGUACGGCAGAGGGGGAUGGAAUUCCGCGUGUAGCAGUGAAAUGCGUAGAUAUGCGGAGGAACACCGAUGGCGAAGGCAAUCCCCUGGGCCUGUACUGACGCUCAUGCACGAAAGCGUGGGGAGCAAACAGGAUUAGAUACUCCUGUAGUCCCUGUCUCUUAUAC